AGCAGCGGCUUGGCUGGGCGAGAGCCCCGAUGACGGCAAAGGCUCCGGAACCGCAUCAAGCUACCUACCCAGGCGGGAGGAGAGAGGUACCAAAGUCAGAGGGAAAAACUCGACGUUCACACGCGCAGCCGGGCUACAAGCCGGAGAGUCGAGUCCCUUUGACUGUAUAGACUGACCCCGAGGACAAGCGAGGCGGACACAGCUGGGAUGCGGCCGACAGAUCGACCUUCAUCCCAGCGAACGCACAGGGCUGACUGAAGACAUCGACCCCCCGGCAUUUCUGUUGCUUGUUUUUCAGUGCCCAUUCCACACUGGAACAGUGGAUUUACAUGUUUCAUAUUUUUCCUGGGCAUUUUAACAGCCUCAUGUGGUACAGAGCGGUAGGCGGCAGUAUUGCAACCAAAACUCUCCCCACAACCCGAGUUCGAUCCUAGCAGAAGCUGGAUCUGGGCAGCCGGCUCAGGUCGACUCAGCCUUCCAUCCUUCCGAGGUCGGUAAAAUGAGGACCCAGCUCUCUGGAGGAAAGCUUUGUGGAUGCAGCUUUCUGAUGAGUUUAGCAGCACUGUUUAUAGAAACGACCAAGCUUCAGUCAAACAUGAAUUCAGAUCUGUGAAGGUUGUAAAUGUGAGGAUUGAUCGCAAAGUUAUUUUUCUAUCACCGUCGUAACUGCAAACAGUUGUCAAACAAGGCAGUUGCUAAAUGAGGAUGACCUGUAUUCAGUUACCUAAAGUCCAACAUGGUAUAAAUGGAAAGCAUGUUUAGCAUGCCAACCUUUGAUUCUGAGGAUCACAUUUGUACACAUUAUUCAAGUCACAGCAGUAGAGCUUUUUCUAAAUACGGGUUUAAGAUAUUUAAUUUCAGAAUGCCAGACUGUGAUGGAGGGACUGCAAAAUGUUUGCAGAGUAAAUGUAUCAAGUAUCCUGUCAUUGCUUGGUUCUGUAAAAUAGGCAUUUGCUGAUUUGCAAAUACAGCGUGUAAAAAAUUUAAGCUGAACGUUCAACCAACAUUUCAUAUUCAGGUAAGCAAGGAAUAUUUUGCUUUAUUUUAACUAAACUUAAUGCCAUUUCGAAUCAAGAAAUUGAAACACUGACCUAAAGAUGUAAAUAGGCCAAUAAGGUUUAACUAUGAAAAGGCAUCACAUAUGGAUUGCCUGCUCUGUCCUCAGAGAAACCCAAAUAAUGUUUACAGUAUGGCUAAAAUGUGCCACUUUUGGAACAGGAAAUAUUUUUGAUUGUUUCAGCUACUCUGCAUUAUGAAAAUAGUGGAAUAAUUUUAGGUGUUCCUAACAUCAAAGCUAUAAGACCAGAAUGAGAAAAAGGAAAUCCCACCACUGGUUAGGACAUUAGAAAAAAGGAACUCUCCUGAUGCUAGAGAUCUCUUUGGGAUAAAAAGGGUUGCUGGCAUCUAUUGCCUAUAGUUGUAUAGCCAUACCCUAUAGUGGUAUGGCAAUUUUUUGCUAACUGAGUGCAAAGGAUGAUCUGGUUGUAGAUAUUCUGUAAAACAGUUGUUUAGGGUAGAUGCUAUGAAUGGAGAGAGAGACAGUGUCAAUGACUCCUUAGAAGAUCUGCUGCAAACAGUGAUCUUGCAAUGAUUUGCAGAGAACUUUAGACUAGAUAAGGGUCUGCAAAGCCUAAACUGGAAAACCCAAGCUGAAAGAUCCAUAUUAAGUGCAGAUGUUCCCCAGAAUCUCACUGUUGGUAAUAGUGUACACUGUUUUUUCCAAAGCAAAACAAAAAAAGGGCAGGGGGAAUUAGAGACUGUAUGCUAACAAAUAAAUAGCAGCUCUUUUGGAAUUGCAUUGAGCAACCUUUGCGCAGAGUAACCAACAAGAGGAUGACAGAAAGUAUGGUCCAAUAGUUUUGGGGGUGCAGCUGGCUCAUAUGGACUUUGUCACUUGAGCCCUCUCUCCACUUUUCUUUCUUGCAUAUAUGCAUCUUCUGGAAGGAAUAUAUGCAUGAUUCAAAAAUAAUUCAGAAGAUGUGUUUCAGACCUUGUGCAAGCAUAAGACUUCUUUGCUACUAAUAAUUCACACAAGUCUGAAAAAAGAUGAGGCUGUCUUAAAAAGCUGCUCAUUAAAGUGACUUUUAAAGUAGAGCAGGGUGUUGCUGCUUUCAUGAAUAGCAGAGAGGUGCUUUUAGGCUUCAUCAGCAGAAGUAUAGUUUCCAAAUAAUGGAAGUAAUGCUUCAAUUUUAUUUUGUAUUUUUAGAUCCCCAACUCAAGUGUUGCAUCCAGUUUUAGGUACCAUAAUUUAAGAAGGAUUCAGACAAACUGAAAGAGGCUCAGAGAAGGACAGUAAAGAUGAUUUCAGGGCUAGAAAAUAAGUCCUAUGAAGAUUAAAGGAACGUAGCAUGUUUAGCCUUGACAACAAAAGAGGGGUGGUGGGGGAUAUGAUAGCCUUCUUCAGGUAUCAGAAAGGAAUAGGAUACUGCAUUAUCCCAGAAUGCAGGACAUGGAAUAAUGGCUUUCUAUUACAGGAAGAACAGUUAGCCAGUAGAACCGGUUAUCCAGAUAGGUGGCAGAUUUCUCAUUCACUAGAUAUGUGAGGCUAGACAAUUAUCUGUCACAGAUGGUUUAAUCUGAAUUGUUGCAUUGAAUUCUGUGUUUAAAAAAAAAGAUUAGAUGGUUUUAAAAGUCCUAUCUUUUCCCCACCUUCAGUCUAUGAACUUCUCUUUCUAUUCCCGUUUAACAAAGGCAAAGCCUUUUUCCAUAUUCUGUAGAGGGAAGAGCUGGGGGAAUCUGACUCAGGGUACAUGACAAAAAGCUCUCUCUACUGUAGCUCUUGGGGAUGUGGAUGGUGAAUCUGAGUCUGUUUUGCAAUCUGGCAUGCAGGACCCAUUCACAAUAGAUUCCAAGAUGUUUUCCCUGAUCAAUUACAGGCACCUAAAACUCAAGUGUAUAUGUGAAGUUAAUAUAUACUCAAGUGUAUAUGUGAAGCCUCAAUGUCAUCAAUUUACACUUUCUUAAAUUGAACUACAUUUGCCAUUCACCCAAUUUAAAGAGAGUCUUACUGGAGCUUUUCACAAUUACUUUUGGUUUUCACGAACUUAAACAGCCUUGGCUGUCUCACUGCUUUUACCUCUAACUCAAGAUAAUUUAUGAACAUUUUAAAAAGCACUGGUCCCAAUAUAGAUUCCUGAGACACUCUACUUUUUUCUUCCCUUCAUUAAGAAGAUUGUCUAGUUAUUUCUGUUUUUUAACCAGUUUGUUGUUUACUCGUUCAGUCACUUCCGACUCUUUGUGACUUUAUGGACCACCCCAGGCCAGAGCUUCCUGUCGGUCGCCACCACCCCCAGCUCCCCCAAGGAUGAGUCCAUCAGCUCUAGAAUAUCAUCCAUCCACCUUGCCCUUGGUCGGCUCCUCUCCCUUUUGCCUUCCACUCUCCCUAGCAUCAGCAUCUUCUCCAGGGUGUCCUGUCUUCUUAUUAUGUGGCCAAAGUACUUCAGUUUUGCCUUUAAUAUCAUUCCCUCAAGUGAGCAGUCUGGCUUUAUUUCCUGGAGGAUGGACUGGUUUGAUCUUCUUGCAGUCUAAGGCACUCUCAGAAUUUUCCUCCAACACCACAGUCCAAAAACAUCCAUCUUCCUUCACUCAGCCUUCCUUAUAGUCCAGCUCUCACAGCCAUAUGUUACUACAGGGAACACCAUGGCUUUAACUAUGCAGACCUUUGUUG